rnacentral:rRNA from 1 species
CCUACGGGAGGCAGCAGUAGGGGAUCUUCCACAAUGGAGGAAACCCUGAUGCAGCGACGCCGCGUGGGCGAAGAAGUAUUUCGGUAUGUAAAGCCCUGUCAGCAGGGAAGAAGGAGUGACGGUACCUAAGUAAGAAACACCGGCUAAAUACGUGCCAGCAGCCACGGUUAUACGUAGGGUGCAAGCGGUAUUCGGAUUUACUUGGUGUAAAGGGACCGCAGGCGGCAAAGGAAGCCCGAUGGGAAAGCCCGCGGCCCAACCGCGGGACUGCAUUGGGAACUAUCGGGCUGGAGUGCCGGAGAGGUAGGCGGAAUUCCUAGUGUAGCGGUGAAAUGCGUAGAUAUUAGGAGGAACACCAGUGGCGAAGGCGGCCUACUGGACGGUGACUGACGCUGAGGCUCGAAAGCGUGGGGAGCAAACAGGAUUAGAUACCCUAGUAGUC